rnacentral:rRNA from 1 species
AUAUAGAAUAUUUUAUUUUUGUUAAUUGUGAUUAUAAAUAUAUUUUUGUUGUUGUAUUUAAGGAUAAAAUUUUUUUAUUAUAGUUAAUUAGUACUGUAAAGGAUGAAUUUGGUUAUAAUGUUUUUGGAAGUUGAUUUAUUUUAUUGUACCUUGUGUAUCAGGGUUUAUUAAAAUUGGUAUAUGAAUUAUGUGUUUCUCGAUAUUUAAAGAGCUAAUUGAUUAUUAUAAUUGUUGUAAUAUAAUUAUUGUUAAUAUUUAAUUGGUGGUGAGAUGUUAAUCGGUUUAAAAUAUAUCUAGUUUUCUUGGAAAUAAAUUUAAUUUAUGUUUUGAUUGUAAGAAACUAAUUUAUUAGUUUUUUUUAGUUGAAGCAGAUAUUUAGGGGGAUAAUCUCUUGAGUAUAUUUAUAUAAUUAAUUAAUUGUAUAUUAAUAGUGUGGAUUUAGUGUUGAUUAUCAAUAGGAGGAUAUAAAAGUUUAAAUUUUAUUAUUUUGUAAUUUUUUUUUUUAAUUUAUUUUGUUUAUUUGAAUUAAGAUGAAAUUUAAUAAUUAAUGUAAUUAUGAUGAAAUUAGUAAAUUAUUAUUUAUAUUGACUGGUUGAUUAUUUGGUAAUUAUAUUUAAGGAAUUCGGCAAUAUUUAUAUUCGCCUGUUUAACAAAAACAUCUUUUUUUGUAUUGGUUUGAAGAUAUGACCUGCCCACUGAUAAGUUUAAAGGGCCGCGGUAUUUUGACCGUGCAAAGGUAGCAUAAUCAUUAGUUUUUUAAUUGAAGGCUGGAAUGAAUGGUUGGACGAGAUAUACACUGUCUUAAAUUAUAUUGGUAAUUGAAUUUAAAUUUUAAGUAAGAAUGCUUAAAUUUUUUUAUGGGACGAGAAGACCCUAUAGAAUUUAAUAUUAUGUUUAUGUUGAUUGUUUGUAAAUAAUAAUGUAUAAUGUAAUAUUUGGUUGGGGUGAUUAUAAAAUAUGAAAAACUUUUUGUUUAUGUAUACAUGUAUUAAUGGUUAUGAGAUCCAUUAUUUAGUGAUUAUAAGUUUAAAUUACCUUAGGGAUAACAGCGUAAUUUUUUUUAAGAGUUCUUAUUGACAAGAAAGAUUGCGACCUCGAUGUUGAAUUAAGAUAAAUUUUGGGUGUAGAAGCUGAAAUAAUUAGGUCUGUUCGACCUUUAAAAUCUUACAUGAUUUGAGUUCAAACCGGCGUGAGCCAGGUUGGUUUCUAUCUAUAAAUAUAAUAAAUUUCUUAGUACGAGAGGACCAGAAAUUGAAAAUAAUUUUUGAGAAUUAAUUUAUUAU